rnacentral:misc_RNA from 1 species
AAAAAAGGCACACCUUGGUUUUGUAACGGCAUUGAGCUUUUCCCCCGAUUCAAGAGCUUUGGCUUCUGCAUCAAUGGACUCCAGUGCUAGGGUGACUAUAAUUGAGGAGGAGCAGAAAAACGGAAUGAGCUUGUGGGUCAUCAUAUUCAUCUUGUUAAUUGCCGUUGCUGCAUAUUUCGUCAACAAUUCUGAUUUUCAUAAGUUUGAGCUUCCUACCUUUUUCAGUGGUUAAAUGAAGCUGGAAUAUCGAGGAACUCAGAGCCUAACA